AUGUUUGACAACGACCUGGUGGUGAUGGAGGAGUUUGUAUCGAGGAAGCGGAUUGAAGACUAUGAGUUCAAGGAUAUACCUAUUUGGAUUAGGGUUUAUGGGUUACCAUUGGGAGACAUGGAUGAAGAUACUGGGGAGAUGAUCAGAAAUAUGGUGGGAGAGUUCGUAGAAGCUGACACUAGAGCGGAUGGAAGGGCCAUUGGGAAAUAUCUCAGAGUGAAGGUACGCCUCCAAAUUGGGAAGCCAUUGAUGAGGGGUUUUAGGCUCGAUACAAGACAGGGAGAUGAAGGAAGUGAGGAGGAAGAUAAUCGGGUAGAGGCGGGAGAGAGGCCGGUGAAGAGCAAGGAUGAGGAGGAGAAGGACCCUUGGUGCCGGUUUGAAUAUGAGUACCUACCAGAUUUUUGUUACAUCUGCGGUAAGCUGGGCCAUCUCGAACGGGACUGUUCAAUCAAGCUAAAGAAAGGAGAGAGGGCACAGUUUGGUAGGUGGAUGAAGGCGGACACGGGCAUAAGGAGAGGAGGGGUGCCGGAUGGGACAUGGCGGAGCUCUAUGCGUGGUAGCAGUGGGAGUCAGGCAUAUGGUUUUGGGCGGUCUGGUGUUCAGUCAGGCAGCGACAACCUAUCAUGGAGGAAGGAUGGGAGCAGGUCAGGAGGAGGGAGCGGAGUGGAGAAGGGUCCGGAGGUGAAUAGCCCGACUAAGGCAAAAAUGGCUGGGGGUAAGGAGGGCACCGUUAGGAAGAUCACUGUCAGCGACAAAGCUACGAAUGUGCAGGAGGGGGAGGCAACACCUAAGGAGAUGGAGCUCCAGGAGAAUGGUGCGAUGAAGGAGGCGGAUGGGGUAUGGAGGUUGAUGCGCUGGGUAGUUUAG
rnacentral:rRNA from 1 species